CGCUAUCACUCCUACGGGGAGGCAGCAGUAGGGAAUCUUCCACAAUGGGCGCAAGCCUGAUGGAGCAACACCGCGUGAGUAAAGAAGGGUUUACGGCUCGUAAAGCUCUGUUGUUAAAGAAGAACACGUAUGAGAGUAACUGUUCAUACGUUGACGGUAUUUAACCAGAAAGUCACGGCUAACUACGUGCCAGCAGCCGCGGUAAUACGUAGGUGGCAAGCGUUAUCCGGAUUUAUUGGGCGUAAAGAGAGUGCAGGCGGUUUUCUAAGUCUGAUGUGAAAGCCUUCGGCUUAACCGGAGAAGUGCAUCGGAAACUGGAUAACUUGAGUGCAGAAGAGGGUAGUGGAACUCCAUGUGUAGCGGUGGAAUGCGUAGAUAUAUGGAAGAACACCAGUGGCGAAGGCGGCUACCUGGUCUGCAACUGACGCUGAGACUCGAAAGCAUGGGUAGCGAACAGGAUUAGAUACCCUGGUAG
rnacentral:rRNA from 1 species